rnacentral:rRNA from 1 species
GAUGAACGCUGGCGGCGUGCUUAACACAUGCAAGUCGAACGGGAAACCUUUUAAUGAAGCUUCGGCAGAUUUAGCUGGUUUCUAGUGGCGGACGGGUGAGUAACGCGUGGGUAACCUGCCUUAUACAGGGGGAUAACAGUCAGAAAUGACUGCUAAUACCGCAUAAGCGCACAGGACCGCAUGGUCCGGUGUGAAAAACUCCGGUGGUAUAAGAUGGACCCGCGUUGGAUUAGCUUGUUGGUGGGGUAACGGCUCACCAAGGCGACGAUCCAUAGCCGGCCUGAGAGGGUGAACGGCCACAUUGGGACUGAGACACGGCCCAGACUCCUACGGGAGGCAGCAGUGGGGAAUAUUGCACAAUGGGGGAAACCCUGAUGCAGCGACGCCGCGUGAAGGAAGAAGUAUCUCGGUAUGUAAACUUCUAUCAGCAGGGAAGAUAGUGACGGUACCUGACUAAGAAGCCCCGGCUAACUACGU